GCUGCCAGUUGCCAACCGGGUGAAGCCGGGCGACUCUGGCGGGACUGCCAUCGACAAGAUGGAGGAAGUGGGGAUGACGUCAAGUCAUCAUGGCCCUUAUGUCCAGGGCGACACACGUGCUACAAUGGCCGGCACAGCGGGAAGCGAGGCAGUGAUGCCGAGCGGAUCCCUUAAAGCCGGUCUCAGUUCGGAUUGAAGUCUGCAACUCGACUUCAUGAAGCUGGAAUCGCUGGUAAUCGCAGAUCAGCCAAGCUGCGGUGAAUACGUUCCCGGGCCUU
rnacentral:rRNA from 1 species